rnacentral:rRNA from 1 species
CGCUAGUAAUCGCGCAUCAGCCACGGCGCGGUGAAUACGUUCCCGGGCCUUGUACACACCGCCCGUCAAGCCAUGGAAGCCGGGAGUGCCUGAAGUGCGUGAGCGCAAGCAGCGCCCUAAGGUAAAACCGGUGACUGGGGCUAAGUCGUAACAAGGUAUC